UGGCGGUACGAGGGCUGCAGCACAGCUAGCAGAGCCGCAGUCCAGACCGCAGCGCGUGCCCGAAGCUCUCCGCCUUCCCCUGCCCGUCAGCCCGAGGCAGCCCGAGCCCAGCCCCUGGCCCCAGCAGCAGCCCCGAGAGCACCCCAGUAGCAGCGUCAUGGCCGGGUGGAACGCCUACAAAGACAAGCUCAUGGCGGAAGGGACCUGUCAGGACGUGGCCAUUGUGGGCCAUAAGAACUUGCCCUCCAUCUGGGCAGCCGUUCCUGGAAAAAACUUCGUCAACAUCACACCAGCUGAGGUUGGAGCCCUGGUUGGCAAAGACCGGUCAAGUUUUUACGUGAAUGGGCUAACGCUUGGGGGCCAGAAAUGGUCUGUGAUCCAGGACUCACUGCUGCAGGACGGGAAAUUUACCAUGGAUCUUUGUACCAAGAGCACCUGCGGAGCCGCCACCUUCAAUAUCAUUGUUACCCUGAAUGCCAAGACGCUAGCCCUGCUGAUGGGCAAAGAAGGUGUACAGGAUGGUAUGAUCAACAAGAAAUGUUAUGAAAUGGCCUCCCACCUGCGGCGUUCCCAAUACUGACCUCGUCUGUCCCCCCCCGCCCCCAACUCCCCACUGCUUUUGCACGCCUCUACAUCCCACACACACGUACACCAUUUUUAUUCUGGGGGCCAUUACCCCACAACCCUUAUUGCUGCCAAAACCACAUGGGCUGGGGACCUGGGCAGGAAGGACAGACACGCUUCCCCCAACCCAUGCCCCUCCUGUGUGUGGUUUGAAAACUUUUCUGUUUUGGGCUUUU